UACGUAGGGGCCGAGCGUUGUCCGGAAUUACUGGGCGUGAAGCGCGCGCAGGCGGCUCUGCGCGCCCCGGCGUGAAAGCCCCCGGCUCAACCGGGGAGAGUCGUCGGGGACGGCAGAGCUUGAGGGCGGGAGGGGUUGGUGGAAUUCCCGGUGUAGUGGUGAAAUGCGUAGAGAUCGGGAGGAACACCUGUGGCGAAGGCGGCCAACUGGCCCGACCCUGACGCCGAGGCGCGAAGGCGUGGGGGAGCGAACGGA
rnacentral:rRNA from 1 species